rnacentral:rRNA from 1 species
AGAGUUUGAUCCUGGCUCAGAUUGAACGCUGGCGGUAGGCUUAACACAUGCAAGUCGUGCGAGAAAGUAUCUUCGGAUACGAGUACAGCGGCGGACGGGUGAGUAACGCGUAGGAAUCUACCUAGUAGAAGGGGAUAGCCCGGGGAAACCCGGAUUAAUACCGUAUACCUCCUUCGGGAGAAAGAAGGCCUCUCUUUGAAGCUUUCGCUACUAGAUGAGCCUGCGUAAGAUUAGCUUGUUGGUGAGGUAAAGGCUCACCAAGGCAACGAUCUUUAGCUGGUCUGAGAGGACGAUCAGCCACAUUGGGACUGAGACACGGCCCAGACUCCUACGGGAGGCAGCAGUGGGGAAUAUUGGACAAUGGGCGCAAGCCUGAUCCAGCCAUACCGCGUGUGUGAAGAAGGCCUUCGGGUUGUAAAGCACUUUAAGCAGGGAGAAAAAGUUAUAAGCUAAUACCUUAUAACCUUGAUGUUACCUGCAGAAUAAGCACCGGCUAAUUCCGUGCCAGCAGCCGCGGUAAUACGGAAGGUGCAAGCGUUAAUCGGAAUUACUGGGCGUAAAGCGCGCGUAGGUGGUUUGUUAAGUUGGAUGUGAAAGCCCUGGGCUCAACCUAGGAACUGCAUCCAAAACUAACUCACUAGAGUACGAUAGAGGGAGGUAGAAUUCAUAGUGUAGCGGUGGAAUGCGUAGAUAUUAUGAAGAAUACUAGUGGCGAAGGCGGCCUCCUGGAUCUGUACUGACACUGAGGUGCGAAAGCGUGGGUAGCGAACAGGAUU